rnacentral:rRNA from 1 species
GUGGUGAGUGUGUAAGAGCGCAUGGUGGAUGCCUUGGCAUCAGGAGCCGAUGAAGGACGUGGAAAUCUGCGAUAAGCCUCGGGGAGUCGAUAAACGGGCGUUGAUCCGAGGAUGUCCGA